GAAAAACGGAAAACAUGCACCACACCACCGAAGAUUUAAAAAAACCGGGGUAAGUGUGGCAUUUGGUUUACAUCUUCCAGUGUUCCAAGCAAAGUGAAAACCACGUAAACCAGGGGCCACACCAAAUCUGAAAGUCAAAAGCUCUCCUUAUCGUCUUCAUCUGUACAAAUAGCAACCCUCCUUUGCUUCCACUUCAUUCCAUUCCACCUUAUAAACUCACUCAUAGGUUUCGCUUUAUCAGUUUUCUGAGACGAAGAAGCAACAGCAAUCGAAAUUCAAAUGGAGGCAAUUCAGUCUUGGGUUUCCGAACACAAGCUUACAAGCAUUGGAGGAAUAUGGGCAUCGGCAGUUGGAGCAUCUCUAGCCUAUUCACGAGCAAGAACACCCCUCAAGCCAAGCCUUAGGCUUAUACAUGCUAGGAUGCACGCACAGGCCUUGACCCUGGCUGUUCUAUCUGGUGCAGCAAUCUACCAUUACUAUGAGGACCAUGAAGCAGCUGCCCACCACGAUGGAGAAAACUAAUGCUUCUCCAAUAACCACCUGCCUAAGUCAGAGAUCCAUUGCAUAAUUCGACAUCAUCUUAUUAGUUUCAUUAUUUUCUCUGUUUUAAUUCCUUUCCCUUUUACUAGUUGUUGUAUUGUACAUCAUAUAUAUAAGGAGAUCUUGGUUUAUUGACGUA